AACGAACGCUGGCGGCAUGCCUAACACAUGCAAGUCGAACGAACCCUUCGGGGUUAGUGGCGCACGGGUGCGUAACGCGUGGGAAUCUGCCCUUUGCUUCGGAAUAAUAGUUAGAAAUGACGGCUAAUACCGGGUGAUGUCUUCGGACCAAAGAUUUAUCGGCAAUGGAUGAGCCCGCGUAGGAUUAGGUAGUUGGUGGGGUAAAGGCCUACCAAGCCGACGAUCCUUAGCUGGUCUGAGAGGAUGAUCAGCCACACUGGGACUGAGACACGGCCCAGAAUCCUACGAGAAGCAGCGGUAGGCAGUAUUAGCCAAACGACGUAAGUCAAGUACAGCAAUGGCGUGUGAAUGCUUAAGGUCUGAGGAUAGAAACGCUCUUUUAACACCCAUGUUUACGACCGUACCCGGAAAAUAAAGCACGGCCAAACCUCUG
rnacentral:rRNA from 1 species